rnacentral:rRNA from 1 species
GUGAGGAAUAUUGGUCAAUGGGCGCAAGCCUGAACCAGCCAUGCCGCGUGCAGGAAGACGGUCCUAUGGAUUGUAAACUGCUUUUAUUUGGGAAUAAACCUCCUUACGUGUAGGGAGCUGAAGGUACCAAAUGAAUAAGCACCGGCUAACUCCGUGCCAGCAGCCGCGGUAAUACGGAGGGUGCAAGCGUUAUCCGGAAUCAUUGGGUUUAAAGGGUCCGCAGGCGGUCAUAUAAGUCAGUGGUGAAAGCCUACAGCUCAACUGUAGAACUGCCAUUGAUACUGUAUGACUUGAAUUCGAUCGAAGUGGGCGGAAUGUGACAUGUAGCGGUGAAAUGCUUAGAUAUGUCACAGAACACCGAUAGCGAAGGCAGCUCACUAGGUCUGGAUUGACGCUCAGGGACGAAAGCGUGGGGAGCAAACAGGAUUAGAAACCCUUGUAGUCC